AAAGACGGAAGGCAUCAGCCAGCACCACCUUUACAUACAGGGAAAGAGACCAGUGGCAGACACAGAAAACUUACUGAAGAAAUUUCUGUAUCUAAAUCAAUCUUUCCAAAUUGAUAACGUGAGCUGUCGGUGUCACUCUGGUUCAAUGUGUCUAUGCCGUGUCUGAGGGCCGCUCUGUGGCAAUGACUUUCAGGCCCAUCUCUAACCAUAUAAGGGAUAACCGGAUCCUCCUCCUCCACUCCCCGCAAGUGUCACUCACUGAUCCGGCCGCAGCCCAGCUCUGGUCGGGUUGGUUUAGCCAGCUACAGCCACCUCCCGGUGGGCGUCACUCGGCCAAGUUCUCUUACUUUCGAGCUCCGGCAGGUCUCCUCGUUCACCGCCGCCGUCCGCACUUCAAUCGGACCCGGACUCUGCUCCACGACCGGGAAACACUGAAGCCGCCAACAGGGUACUUUCACUGGAUCUUCCGCUGUCCGUCCGUGACGAGGUCUCUCUAUUUCUUAGCAGACGCGUUACUCUCACCGCGCAGCUACGGUCCCGAUCUCCUUCUCCUCAGCCCACCAACGGUUCUCUCCUUUUAUAACUUCCCCUCUAGAGCCCCGGAUCAGUCCCGCCAAAGGUCCCCUGCACGAGCUGGUUGUCCCACACAUAGCCUCGUGCCAGCAACCCCCUCCUUGGUAAGCAGUGUGUCAGUCUAAUAGACCCAAGUUCAUGCUGACAGUACCAAUA